rnacentral:rRNA from 1 species
UACGAGGGGGGCAAGCGUUGUUCGGAAUUAUUGGGCGUAAAGGGUGCGUAGGCGGUUUGGUAAGUCUUAUGUGAAAUCUACAGGCUCAACUUGUAGUCUGCAUGAGAAACUGCCGGGCUUGAGUAUGGGAGAGGUGAGUGGAAUUCCUGGUGUAGCGGUGAAAUGCGUAGAUAUCAGGAGGAACACCUGUGGCGAAAGCGGCUCACUGGACCAUAACUGACGCUGAUGCACGAAAAGCUAGGGGGAGCAAAACAGGG